UACGUAGGGGGCAAGCGUUGUCCGGAUUCAUUGGGCGUAAAGAGCGUGUAGGCGGCCAGGUAGGUCGGUUGUGAAAACUGGAGGCUCAACCUUCAGACGUCGACCGAAACCAUCUGGCUAGAGUCCGGAAGAGGGGACUGGAAUUCCCGGUGUAGCGGUGGAAUGCGCAGAUAUCGGGAGGAACACCCGUGGCGAAGGCGGGUCCCUGGGACGGUACUGACGCUGAGACGCGAAAGCGUGGGGAGCGAACAGG
rnacentral:rRNA from 1 species